AUUGGGAGAGCUGAUACAACAACUUUAAAUGAUAAAGAGUAUUAGAUUUAUCACAUGGGAAAUCAUGGUUCUUUGAAGCUUGAUCAUGUUCACAGCAUGAAACUAGAGGGAAUAAUAACAUCUUGUUCUUCAAGUAAAAUGUACCUCGUAUUGUGGCAAAUGGUCUCGCUGGAGUAGUAUCUGUUAAUGACAUAAAGUUCCAUGACAUGCAGCUUGGAGUAUAUGAAGCAACUAUUAUCUGCAGCCAAGCACUGUCGCUUUAGAGGUAUAUGCAUUGCGACAUCAAAGCAUCAAAUAUUUUGCAAUGAUUGUGGAAUAAGUUGGGAGAUUUUGGAUUGGCAAGUGUCGUAAAUAUGACUAACAAGCAACCACCGACAACUUAGUGGCAUAACCUUGUGGUAGUGUCCUCCUGAACUUCUUAUGGGGCCAGCAAAGUAAGAAGUAUCCCUGCAUAUAUAGAUGCAGCAUUGGCUAGUGUAUAUGCCGAACCUUUCCCAGGGCAGCCUAUCCUUAAAGGAACAAUUGAGAACUUCAGAACCCCUUAGUGCUUGUGAUCUAUCAAAGUUGCCAAAGUAUCUUCCCACCAAAGAAAUGGAUGCUAAAAGUCGUUAGGGUGAACAAAGAACUUCAGAAGCCCUUAGUGCUUGUGAUCUAUCAAAGUUGCCAAAGUAUCUUCCCACCAAAGAAAUGGAUGCUAAAAGUCGUUAGGGUGAACAAAGGAAAGAGCCUGGUGCUUGAGCAACAAAGACAGCAUCAUAAAAACCAUGGAUAUUUAUUUGCAAAAGUCAAAUAUUUCUGCACAACUAGCACCAAAAGAGAUCUCUCUCUGUUCAUGUUAUAGAGGGAUGAAGCAAUAAGCAAGCUACUUUUGACUGCAUGAUUGUCCUUGAUUCUGCUGGGUGGGAAAGACAAUGAUGCUAGUCAACCUUCUCGUAAAAAUGGUGUUUACCGGCAUAUCCUUAUCCUGUGCGCAAAAGAAAGUCUUCUCUGUAGUGACUCCAAAAUCCGGCAUUUGAUGCUGUUUUGGAGAAUUGCAAGUUGAAUGCAAACCAAGGAAAUUAUUUUUCUCUUCUACAGGAGCAAGUGCUUUACAUUUGCAAAAUGCAAAACGAUGGAAUUCUGUACUAAAUCUUCAGCUUCAAGUGGCUCAAAAAGGUAAUUUGGUGUACUGGAUAGAACUCCCACAAAGAGUGCUGUUGACUUAUCGAAACCAGGGAAUGAACUUGCCAUGGAAAUAUAAAAGUCUGCGACAGGAGAAGACGAAGAUGAUCCAGGAAAGAUGCACAUUUACAACAGCGAAAUCAACAAUCUGGUGGUGCAGGGUAUAUCAAAUCCCUGCAAUCAGAAGAGAUGCCAAAACAGCCUUCUGGACAUCCAAGCUUCUCUAGUUUAUCUUUGUUGCAGUGGAAAGGGCUCUUAUUCUUCUUUAAGUUUUGUACUGCCAUGCCAAACACAUCUUCGUGUUCCCCAAGUUGUGUUACAAUAUUACUGGCAUUUUUUUGUUGCUACAGAUGGCUUGAUUCCUUUAUGAAAUUCAAUCUUGUAUUUA